CUGCGAAUGGCUCAUUAUAUAAGUUAUCGUUUAUUUGAUAGUACCUUACUACUUGGAUAACCGUGGUAAUUCUAGAGCUAAUACAUGCUAAAAAUCCCGACUUCGGAAGGGAUGUAUUUAUUAGAUUAAAAACCAAUGCCCUCUGGGCUCUCUGGUGAUUCAUGAUAACUUCUCGAAUCGCAUGGCCUUGCGCCGGCGAUGGUUCAUUCAAAUUUCUUCCCUAUCAACUUUCGAUGUUUGGGUAGUGGCCAAACAUGGUUGCAACGGGUAACGGAGGGUUAGGGCUCGACCCCGGAGAAGGAGCCUGAGAAACGGCUACUACAUCCAAGGAAGGCAGCAGGCGCGCAAAUUACCCAAUCCCGAUUCGGGGAGGUAGUGACAAUAAAUACUGAUACAGGGCUCUUUUGGGUCUUGUAAUUGGAAUGAGUACAAUUUAAAUCCCUUAACGAGGAACAAUUGGAGGGCAAGUCUGGUGCCAGCAGCCGCGGUAAUUCCAGCUCCAAUAGCGUAUAUUAAAGUUGUUGUGGUUAAAAAGCUCGUAGUUGAACCUUGGGCCUGGCUGGCCGGUCCGCCUCACCGCGUGUACUGGUCCGGCCGGGCCUUUCCCUCUGUGGAACCCCAUGCCCUUCACUGGGUGUGGCGGGGAAACAGGACUUUUACUUUGAAAAAAUUAGAGUGCUCCAGGCAGGCCUAUGCUCGAAUACAUUAGCAUGGAAUAAUAAAAUAGGACGUGCGGUUCUAUUUUGUUGGUUUCUAGGACCGCCGUAAUGAUUAAUA
rnacentral:rRNA from 2 species